AGAGUUUGAUCAUGGCUCAGGAUGAACGCUGGCGGCGUGCCUAAUACAUGCAAGUCGAACGGUCCGCAAGGAUAGUGGCGAACGGGUGAGUAGCGCGUUGGUGACCUGCCCUGGAGAGGGGGAUAACAGACCGAAAGGUCUGCUAAUACCGCAUGAGUUCUUACUAGUUAGAGAGGUAAGAAGAAAGCCGAAAGGCGCUCCAGGAGGGACCUGCGUCCCAUCAGCUAGUUGGUGAGGUAGUGGCCCACCAAGGCGAUGACGGGUAGGGGACCUGAGAGGGUGACCCCCCACAAUGGAACUGAAACACGGUCCAUACACCUACGGGUGGCAGCAGUAGGGGAAUAUUGGUUAAUCUGCGAAAGCGGGAACCAGCAACGCCGCGUGAACGAUGAAGGCCUUCGGGUUGUAAAGUUCUUUUGGCAGGGAAGAGGAAGGACGGUACCUGUCGAAUAAGUCUCGGCUAACUACGUGCCAGCAGCCGCGGUAACACGUAGGAGACGAGCGUUAUCCGGAUUUACUGGGUGUAAAGCGCGUGCAGGCGGAACGGCAAGUUGGAUGUGAAAGCUCCUGGCUUAACUGGGAGAGGUCGUACAAGACUGCCGAUCUAGAGGACAGCAGAGGGGAGUGGAAUUCCGAGUGUAGCGGUAAAAUGCAUAGAUAUUCGGAAGAACACCAGUGGCGAAAGCGGCUCUCUGGGCUGUAACUGACGCUCAGACGCGAAAGCUAGGGUAGCAAACGGGAUUAGAGACCCCGGUAGUCCUAGCCGUAAACGAUGUGGACUUGGCGUAGGUGGGUUCAAAUCCAUCUGUGCCGCAGCAAACGCGAUAAGUCCACCACCUGGGGACUACGGCCGCAAGGUUAAAACUCAAAGGAAUUG
rnacentral:rRNA from 1 species